CCCAUCUCCUCCUACUACCCCUGCACCUACUGGUUCUCCUCCGUCAACUCAACCACCUCCGGAUCGGUUUGAUUUGCAUUAUAAUCGCCGGCGUUGGAGGUCAAGCGCCUGCCAUGUCACCUAGUGCCACCCCAGCACCACCAACACCCACUACCCCAUCUCCUCCUACUACCCCUGCACCUACUGGUUCUCCUCCGUCAACUCAACCACCUCCGGCAUCUUCCCCACCGCCGGCAGUUUCAUCACCGCCACCUACAUCAACUUCACCACCUCCAGCUGUAUCAGCUUCGCCACAAGCUACACCUCCACCGGCAGCUACUCCUCCUCCAGUGACUGCUCAACCACCGGCUAGUCCUCCACCACCAGUUAGCGCUCCACCGCCGGCUACUCCUCCACCUGUGGCUACCCCACCACCUCCUGCCACUCCACCUCCCAGCCCACCUCCGCCUGCUGCUGCACCUGCACCAGUUGCAACUCCGCCAGCUUCAACUCCGGCUGCUGCACCUACGACUGUAGCCACAUCUCCGGUACCAUCUCCAUUGGGAGUAUUGAGUCCUCCAGCACCUCCCAUGGGUGCUCCAUCCCCGAGUACUCUUCCAGCUUUUUCUCCUGGUCCAUCAGUAUCCC
rnacentral:lncRNA from 1 species